ACUUAAAAAGCGAUCAGAAAGCGAUCAGCUGUUGAGGUUUGCACUCGAGCAUUUGAACAUACCAGACCCUACCGAAACCAGCUAUCUUUAAGCAAUGCCUCCUACAGCCAUUGUAAAGCAUGUGCGUCCAUAUUAAUCAAUCUGCUAAACUUUCCUCAGUUUCUAUAACGAAAUGCUGUUUUGAACAAAGAUAUUUGACUUGCCCAGCUGAAGCACAGAAUGACAACGUCUGUCAUGAUGUCUGUCUUGCUGGUAGUCCAGGAUGUAACUCACACUAUGUCUAUGACAGCUUUUUCUAAGCAGUGUUCCACGUUUUUCUCUUUCAGGAUGGCAGACUAGCAAGCAGCAGUGGUUUCCAGUGGUUUGGAAUGUUAACGUCAGCACCACUUGUAAUCAGUAGACAGCUGUGGCUAAAGGUGAAAAUGAAAGCUCUCUGUGCAUCAUAAACAAAAAACCUAGGAAUCAUGCAGCUAUGAGUAUUUCAGACAGCUGAGGUUUCAGGAGGCAGUUCUGUUGCUCCAUCUGAUACACAAGUCUGCCUAAAGACAGCCCUCUUUAUAGUGAUAGGAUUCUGGUUUCCGCCCUCCUUCAAAGCGUGGAAAUUCAUCUGGAGUAGGAAGUAAACCCUUCCGGCCUCCUGCGCAGUAAGAGAUGCAGUGGACAGGAGUCAUUGGAUUCAUGACAAUACUGUAAUUUGCCCAGGAAGUGUCUUUGCUUCCUUAUCCUUGCAUUUCAGUAUGGAAGAAUGUUCCACUCACCUCUCAGAGCACCACGACCUCACCCCUGAACACCAUGGUCCCUUCCUCUUGAGUUUUCAUCUGGAGAGUCAAAAGCGUCAUCUGGCCCAAAAUCUUCAGGUCCAGGAAAGCCAUCUCUCCCCCUGGGUCCCUGGCCCUCAUGUCUUGAGGGUCCUCCUCUUCUGAAGCUACAAGAAAGAACAUGGUACAAAUGUGGGUUUUAGACAGAAUUUAGAUUGAGAAACUUCAGCCAGCUUCAGUUUAAUCAUCAACUCAUUUCUGAACUGUUUUACUUAAUACUGUAGCACAUACAGUUACUAGAAUAGGAUUUGUAGGUAGAAAAGUGCUCGUUUUCUGCCUUUGAGCACUUUGUCUAUUCAUUUUUGUAGUUUCCCCUCAUUUCCUUCUGCUGAUUGUAUUGGUUUUUCAAACAAGAAAAAUACUUUCAAAUA